rnacentral:rRNA from 1 species
UAGUACGAGAGGACCGGAGUGGACGAACCUCUGGUGUUCCGGUUGUCACGCCAGUGGCACUGCCGGGUAGCUAUGUUCGGACGGGAUAACCGCUGAAAGCAUCUAAGCGGGAAGCCCCUCCCAAGAUGAGAUCUCUCACUCCUUGAGAGUGUAAGGGCCCUUGUAGACUACAAGGUUGAUAGGCUGGGUGUGGAAGUGCAGCAAUGUACGAAGCUAACCAGUACUAAUUGCCCGAGUGGCUUGGUCAUAUAACACCAAAGC